GACGUAGGGCGCGAGCGUUGUCCGGAUUUAUUGGGCGUAAAGAGCUCGUAGGCGGCUUGGUAUGUCGGGUGUGAAAUCCCCGGGCUCAACCUGGGAACUGCAUCCGAAACUGCCUUGCUAGAGUAUGGGAGAGGGAAGUGGAAUUUCCGGUGUAGCGGUGAAAUGCGUAGAUAUCGGAAGGAACAUCAGUGGCGAAGGCGACUUCCUGGACCAAUACUGACGCUCAGGUGCGAAAGCGUGGGGAGCAAACAGG
rnacentral:rRNA from 1 species